GGAGUUGUAGCUCAGUGGACAGUGCUUGCCUAGCAUGCAUGAGGCACUGAGUUUGAUCCUCAGCACCA
rnacentral:tRNA from 1 species